UUCUCUCUUAGAAAGAAGUUGCUGAACAAUUUCAGCUGAAAAACAUAUCCCGACAGAUCUUAUGUUGCAUUUCAAAAUUAAUUCUUUCUUAACAGCGGAAUCACAAGACCUAGACGAAACCCACAAAAUAUUUCCUCAACCAAAGAAUUCUACUCAUUGACGUUGGAUUUGGAAUAUUGGCCGUUAUUACAAUUUCGUGCACUUAUCAUUUUUUCAUUUACCGAGUAUUUGGUGUCGCUAAUGGGUCUGGCUGGAUUAUUUAUUGGCACCAGUUAUCUAACAAUGUAUGAGGUUUUCUAUAAUAUAUUUGUACGUGUUGGAUUUUCCUAUGUUGUCAAUUGGAAUUAUUUGGAGAAGAAAUUCAAAGAACAAGAAGAAAAAGAAAGUUCCCAACCACCGCCUUGCAUUGAUAUGUCAUUGAAAUUAAAGAAACAUAAAUAAACCAAACGCCUGAAAGUAUGCUUUAAAUUCUUAUACAAAUAUCAUUUAACUUGUGUGCAGUUAUUAACCCUCAAUGUCUAUGGUAUUUAUGUUAAUAAUGUA